UUGCCUGCACCUGCCGGCGACCGGCGCACGGGUGAGUAACACGUAUGGAACCUGCCCGCCACAGGGGGAUAACCCGGGGAAACCCGGCCUAAUACCCCAUGCCGCCCGGACCGGGCAUCCGGUCCGGGCGAAAGGAGGAAUCCGGUGGCGGCUGGGUAUGCGGCGCAUUAGCUUGACGGCGGGGUAACGGCUCACCGUGGCGACGAUGCGUAGGGGUUCUGAGAGGAAGGCCCCCCACACUGGAACUGAGACACGGUCCAGACUCCUACGGGAGGCAGCAG
rnacentral:rRNA from 1 species